rnacentral:rRNA from 1 species
UACGAAGGGGGCUAGCGUUGUUCGGAAUUACUGGGCGUAAAGCGCGCGCAGGCGGUUCUUCAAGUCAGUGGUGAAAGCCCGGAGCUCAACUCCGGAACUGCCAUUGAAACUGUAGAACUUGAGGAUGAGAGAGGUGAGUGGAAUUCCCAGUGUAGAGGUGAAAUGCGUAGAUAUCGGGAGGAACACCCAUGGCGAAGGCAGCAAGCUGGGCGACACCUGACGCUGAGGCGCGAAAGCGUGGGUAGCAAACAGG